UGUGCAUAAUAUGUAUUUCAUGUUUUUGCAAUAAUGAAGUUUAUCUGUUAGUAUACCGUAAUUUAUUAGUUUUUACGAUAUUCUCCAGCUAACCCGGAUUUUCGAUAACCCGAACCAGCCACGGUCCCGAUUAAUCCGACUUAUCGAGGUUCCACUGUAUUCAUAAAAAAUCUUUUAAGUAACCUAGAUAUAACAAAGUGAAUAAAAGGCAUAAAUCAGAAGAAUUAUUAUUUUAUUUUAUAAGUUAAUAAUUGGUCAUAUCCAUUUAUUAUUUUAAUAAUAAUUGUGAAUAAGCCACAAACUUCGCUUAUUCCUAACUAAAAUAGUAAAUAGAGAUAAUAACAAUAGGAUUUGUAAAACUAAAGUAAUUCUUUUUGCGUUUUUGCUAAUGUAUGCCUUUAUAAAUAGGAUGGUAGACCACACACUAUAAUAUGCAGUACCAACUAAUGAAUACACAGAAUAUUAUAGUCGAUUUGCUAAACUCAGUCUCAGUACUACUGAGUCUCAGACACAACUGGCUAGUGAUUUUAGUAAAAAAAAUAAUAACUAAAUAGUUAAUAAUUACUGUAAUUUUGGCAAAAUUGGCCAAAAACAAAAAAAAAUUACCUACUAAAAUCACUAGCCAGUUGUGUCAGAGUUUGGGGAACCGACUAUACUAAUAAACAAUUUCUAAGCUGUUUUAUAAUAUUUUGUGAGUCCAUUAAUCAUAUUUUUUAUUUAAAACUAAAAUUUGUUAAUAAUGCUUAGUAAUGCAUAUAUUUUGUAUUUUUAGCUUUCCAGAAGAUCCUGCGAAGAAGACAUGAAGUAUAGAUCAGAUUUGUUAAUAGAGGAGUAUGUUCAAAACACUUUUUAGAAAAAGAUAUUGACAGAACUUCACUUUCAUCUGUUCGUUUAAGAGACUGUGCUGUUCCAAUAGCUUAUGUCACACAGAAUCAGCUGAGAGAAGUGGUCUACAAAAAACCAGAAAGGAAACAGAAUAUGUGGCUACGAAAAGCAAAAGAAAGGUUUACAAAGCAAAUGUGACACAUUUUUUUAUAAUAUUUAGGAAUGUCAGUAAAUUACAUUAAAAAAUGUAUGUAAAGAUUUUUUGCAAUAAAAAUGUUUAUAUUUA